rnacentral:rRNA from 1 species
CCGCAUAAGAUUACAGUACCGCAUGAUACAGUGAUCAAAGGAGCAAUCCGCUGAAAGAUGGGCUCGCGUCCGAUUAGAUAGUUGGUGAGGUAACGGCUCACCAAGUCGACGAUCGGUAGCCGGACUGAGAGGUUGAACGGCCACAUUGGGACUGAGACACGGCCCAGACUCCUACGGGAGGCAGCAGUGGGGAAUAUUGCACAAUGGGCGAAAGCCUGAUGCAGCAACGCCGCGUGAGGGAAGACGGUUUUCGGAUUGUAAACCUCUGUUUUCGGUGACGAAUAAAUGACGGUAACCGAGUAGGAAGCCACGGCUAACUACGUGCCAGCAGCCGCGGUAAUACGUAGGUGGCAAGCGUUAUCCGGAAUUACUGGGUGUAAAGGGAGCGCAGGCGGGAUAGCAAGUCAGUUGUGAAAACUAUGGGCUCAACCCAUAGAUUGCAGUUGAAACUGUUAUUCUUGAGUGGAGUAGAGGCAAGCGGAAUUCCGAGUGUAGCGGUGAAAUGCGUAGAUAUUCGGAGGAACACCAGUGGCGAAGGCGGCUUGCUGGGCUCUAACUGACGCUGAGGCUCGAAAGUGUGGGGAGCAAACAGGAUUAGAUACCCUGGUAGUCCACACUGU